UUCCAUCAGUAAAUCAGCCUGGCGAGUGUUUUUAAUUGAUGUAAAUAUUUGGCGGGCAAAAACAUUUUUAAUUAAAGGCAAACAUGGCUCUUUCGGUCGAAGUGAUUAAGCGUGUCAAAACGGAAGGUAACGAUGGGUGCUGGCAGGGGUUUAUCUCGAACAUCGCGAUAAAGGUUCGUGGAGCACUAGAACUUUGACCUUAAACGAAACACGCGUCUUCGCGGAUAUAACCUAAUGAAUGUCGUCAGUGAUGGGUGGUUGUCAAAUACUUUGAUUAAAUAUUAGUAAACUUACUACUUACCUACUUCAUAAUAUUAAGAAGGGAAUGAACACAUCAAUAUAGAACUUAAAAAUUAAAAUACAAUAAAAAUAAUGUUUGAUAUAUGUAUUUUUCUAAUACUAAGCAAAGCCAUUCUUGUUCGAUAGCAUUCAGCCUGUUCUAAGCCUUCCCAUUUGUUUGCUGUCAUUUCGAUCAAAAACCAAAACAGAUUCCCAAAAAUAGUCGGCGAAUGCAUUAAACCUCAGAAAGUCAAGUAGCCAAGGUGCGCAUGCUCUCUCCGCUAAUUAUAAACUGAUGUAUCUGGAGUAUCGGGCGGUGCAUCUGCCCCUGUGCUCAGUAUUUCAGAUACUGUAUCUGUAUCUGGCCUCGACAGGCUAUUGAACUUCAGCAGGGAGGACGAAUGGGGGGAGGUGGAGGUGGAGGCGGGAUGUGGCCACAAAAGUCACUAAUAAGUAAAGCACUUGAAAAGCCAAAGAAAAAGGCAACACGAGAAGAAAAGCCACUCGAGUUAGAUUGAUAGGUGACUGGGUUCAGCCCCGGUCUCAGUCGUCUGCCAUUCUGCCAUUCUGCCGUUCUGCCAGUAAUUAAAUUUAUGCACACAAAUUCUUGGCAAGAGUCGCCGUUCCUGGUCUCGGUAUCGGUCUGGGUUCCCGGUCCCUGUCCCUGUCCCUGUCCCGGUCCCGGUCCCAGUCCCGGUUCUGAGUUCUCAACUCUGGCAUCUCGGCUCUUAGCUCUCAUAUUUCAUAAGCCGAGGCGAGCUGAGGGCUUGAGUGACUCUGUGCUUCACACCUUUGGCCGCCGGUGGCAGCCACUUGUGCCUCUUGCCCCAGGGAGCUCCAUUGCUCCCUUUGUUGUUAUUCCUGGGACUCUUGUGAUUCACGGCCCGGCCGCUCGUCUAGCUUAUUGAUUUCAUUAGUUUGGUGACACAAACCCCGAGUGGAGCACCCUCUGGCAGCCGCACUUGUGAGUGCGCAGUAGGUGCUGAGCUGGGAGAAAAUACGUGUCCCGAAAUCAGGGUUUUCUGUUACUAAAAUAUAUAGCACAUCAUUCUAUAUAAAGUAUACUCUCCUCUCUGACUUCGUUUGGUCUUUGUUUUUAUAGUACUCCAACAAUGCGUAAAAUGUUGGUACACUUGAAGAGUAAAGUAUCCCCGUGAAUAUUAAUCAAUAAGUCCAUUUAUUUCGAUUUCAUUUAGUAGGCAAAAUUACUUCUCAAACCAUUACUUAAGUGUAUUUUUAGAAAUUGUAUGGGUAAGUUUUUUCAGUGAGCUGCGAAUGAAAGCAGUGUCAGUUUUAGUUUUCUUUUUCCCCUCUGAAGUGAUGGCAACUUCGAUACACCGCCAUUGUGCCACAUUUGCCUACUUGAUUUCUUAACCGAGCAGGAAGUACAAGUCCAUCGAGAUGAGCAACGGUAUUAUUUCUGUGGUCUUUGGGGCUGGGUUAAUCCAUUAGAAGACCCAAGCCUUGAUAUCGUUGAACUCCCAACUUCCCAUGACUUUGACAUUGAAAGUGCCGCAGCUCCUAACUUCUAGCCAAAGUCGACCCCCUCCAACAAGAUGAAGCCCCAAACUAGAAAAGCCAAAUGUUUAUUUUAGUUUCCACGACACACACUCCGAAGCAAAAGCCAUCAAAUGCAUUUUAGGCUUUGGAAUUUUUAUAGGCUUCGAUCUUUUUGGAUAUUUUAGAGAUCUCCGCUACGGGUUUGUUUUUCACUCAAUAAAAAGCUUCGAUCGGGUCGCAUUUUUGCCGCAAGUUAUUAAGAUUUUAACAACCGAAUCUUCGUCUUCUGCCGAGUUUCUAAUUAAGUUAUUAGUCAUGGUGAGUGGAAUGUUCGCCUCGUUUCGUCUCGUUUCGUUUAGUUUAGUUUAGUUUUCGAAAGGGCGUUUGAACUGAGAAAUGCAUCAGCAUAAAUAUGGCAAAAUAAAGCCAACGAAAAGGCGUUCUGAGAUGCUAUCGAUAGUGCUCAAUAUGUGUGGGCGUGAUUUGUUUCCGAAGGAGAUCCUCGGCACAGACGGUACUUUCGGCCAGGACUUAAUUAAGGCCUCAGGUGCAAGGAGCUCGUAAAAGAAGUGGGAUCGCAACUCUUUUCAAAUUAUUUUUCCACCUUCCUGGGAAUAUUUGCAAAUUGAUUCGUUGGAAAAAUAAACCUGUUAAAGGCACUCAUUCGCAAAGCUGUUGAUACUGGGGCUCCGUUUUCAUGUUUUAUGGCGAAAAGCAUGUAAUCUUAGCUAUGGGAAAGUUUUGAAAAAAUUUGACUCAAUGAGGAAGUGUUCAUCACGUACGCGGAUUCUUGAUCCAUACAUAAAUAUUUCUUUAUUGCACUUGAUUUCACAAACGGAGCCACCAGUUAAUGGGAAAAUGUGUUACAUUGUGCCAUAUCUCAGGAAGUUUAUUGAUAAAUAUGGUAAGCCUUUAUAAACAUGAUUUUGAUUACAUUAAAGCAUAAGUGAUCUUAGAAAA